GAUGAAGAACGCAGCGAAAUGCGAUAAGUAAUGUGAAUUGCAGAAUUCAGUGAAUCUUCGAAUCUUUGAACGCACAUUGCGCCCGCCAGUAUUCUGGCGAGCAUGCCUGUUCGAGCGUCAUUUCAACCAUCAAGCCCCAGGCUUGUGUUGGAGCCCUGCGGCUGCCGCAGCCUCCCAAAACCAGUGGCGGGCUCGCUAUCACACCGAGUGCAGUAGUUUACUCUUCGCUCAGGGCGUGUGGCGGGUGCUAGCCGUGAAACCCCCAACUUCUCAAGGUUGACCUCGGAUCAGGUAGGAAUACCCGCUGAACUUAAGCAUAUCAAUAAGCGGAGGA
rnacentral:misc_RNA from 1 species